AAACGUAAACGUUACCCAACACACCAUUAGUACCUCUUUCAUUCUUCAAAAAUGCUAACACAUAAUAAGUUUGAUGUUGGAUUAUUUUUUUUCAGUAUGGUAGCACUCCAGGUAGCCUUCAUCCUCAAGAAUGUGGACCGCGUUGCACAGAAAGAUGCUCAAAGACAGCGUUCAAGAAGCCAUGUAUGUUUUUUUGUCAAAAAUGCUGCACGGUAUGCUUGUGUGUACCGCCCGGAACUUAUGGCAACAAGCAGUUCUGCCCUUGCUACAAUAAUUGGAAGACCAAGAGAGGAGGCCCCAAAUGCCCUUAGAAUCCUGUUUUUUGUUUUUUUUUUGUUUUUUGUUUUUAAACAACGUUGCUGAUCAACUUAAUUUUAGGUUCGUGUUAUAAAUCUGUACUAUAUUGUUUGAUUUUCUCUAUUUUUAAUUUGUGUCAUGGGUGAUGUUUAUAAGAGUUGGUCUCUUUGUUUCAA